UGGAGGCAGCAGUGAGGAAUAUUGCGCAAUGGGGGAAACCCUGACGCAGCAACGCCGCGUGAAGGAUGAAGGUUUUCGGAUUGUAAACUUCUUUGAUGAGGGACGAAUAAUGACGGUACCUCAAAAAGAAGCCACGGCUAACUACGUGCCAGCAGCCGCGGUAAUACGUAGGUGGCGAGCGUUGUCCGGAAUUACUGGGUGUAAAGGGCGUGUAGGCGGGGAUAUAAGUCAGAUGUGAAAUACCGAGGCUUAACUUCGGGGCUGCAUCUGAAACUAUGUUUCUUGAGUGUCGGAGAGGAAAGUGGAAUUCCCAGUGUAGCGGUGAAAUGCGUAGAUAUUGGGAGGAACACCAGUGGCGAAGGCGACUUUCUGGACGAUAACUGACGCUGAGGCGCGAAAGCGUGGGGGGCAAACAGGAUUAGAAACCCGAGUAGUCC
rnacentral:rRNA from 1 species